AUUGAACGCUGGCGGCAGGCCUAACACAUGCAAGUCGAACGGUAACAGGAAGAAGCUUGCUUCUUUGCUGACGAGUGGCGGACGGGUGAGUAAUGUCUGGGAAACUGCCUGAUGGAGGGGGAUAACUACUGGAAACGGUAGCUAAUACCGCAUAACGUCGCAAGCCCAAAGAGGGGGGCCUUCGGGCCUCUUGCCAUCGGAUGUGCCCAGAUGGGAUUAGCUAGUAGGUGGGGUAACGGCUCACCUAGGCGACGAUCCCUAGCUGGUCUGAGAGGAUGACCAGCCACACUGGAACUGAGACACGGUCCAGACUCCUACGGGAGGCAGCAGUGGGGAAUAUUGCACAAUGGGCGCAAGCCUGAUGCAGCCAUGCCGCGUGUAUGAAGAAGGCCUUCGGGUUGUAAAGUACUUUCAGCGGGGAGGAAGGGAGUAAAGUUAAUACCUUUGCUCAUUGACGUUACCCGCAGAAGAAGCACCGGCUAACUCCGUG
rnacentral:rRNA from 1 species